GCGUUUAUAAAGCUGAACUUUCCAACGGAAUCACCUGUUAUGCCAAUAUUUAUUUCAACAUCUCUCCAUGCCUCCAAUUUUGCUUUACAAAUGUUUUCUAUUCCAGACACGCCAUGUUGUUCAACAUGUUUGGAUACUUUUUAUGUACAUAUUCUCCGUCGUAGUAAAACAAGACGAGUUCCCGCUGGUUUUAAAUCUUCUAAAACCUUUGGCUCUAAUAAAACCUACUUAGACCAAGUCAAACUUGU